rnacentral:piRNA from 1 species
UGGUUGAGUAUUCCUAACUGC